rnacentral:rRNA from 1 species
GCGAACCUACGGGGCGCAGCAGUGGGGAAUAUUGCACAAUGGGGGAAACCCUGAUGCAGCGACGCCGCGUGAGUGAAGAAGUAUCUCGGUACGUAAAGCUCUAUCAGCAGGGAAGAAAAUGACGGUACCUGACCAAGAAGCCCCGGCUAACUACGUGCCAGCAGCCGCGGUAAUACGUAGGGGGCAAGCGUUAUCCGGAUUUACUGGGUGUAACGGGAGCGUAGACGGCAGCACAAGUCUGGAGUGAAAUCCCG